rnacentral:tRNA from 1 species
GGAAGAGUGGCAGAGCGGUUGAAUGCACCAGUCUUGAAAACUGGCGACUGUAAUAGGUCCGUGAGUUCGAAUCUCACCUCUUCCGCCA